rnacentral:RNase_P_RNA from 1 species
GCGGGGUUGGGACUCACUCACGCUCCCUGAGUAGUGAGGGGAGUGAGGAAACACCGUGCACCCCGCGGCAACGCGACCCCGUAAGGGGUACGGGUAGUUCCCGUGGCAACGGCACAGAAACGGCACGGCCAGUACGAGAUGGCUAUGAUGCGGGCCAGCUCCCGGCAACGGGGGCUCUAAACCGCAGAGGACUGUAUUGGAGGCGUUGAAACGGCCGUCCCGCGUGGUGUAAGGCCCAGGUCUGAGAUGAAGUGCCGCGUGAUCGGUAUGGGCCGCUUAGAAAAAUGUGAGUAGACAGAACACGGGUUACUCCCAGCCCCGC